CCUUGGCUCCUAACAAAGGGCUGUAGAUCUCUUAAAAUCGGCUGUGUCAAAUGAUUUCAGAAAAGUUCAGGCCAGCCUUUUUUGCUGCUUUUCCUCAGUGGGCCCAAAGUGUCUUUAUGGCUCCGUCAAAGGAUAAAUUGGCCAACUUCCCUUUUUUGCAGGUUUCAAUGAGAGCCUAGAUGCCAUCACCCCCAUUACAGACCUAACUUCACAUGAAGAUACCAAAUUUCCAGCUAGUGAGCCUCUAGUGCCUACCACUACUAUAUAAGUAUUUCAAGGCUAGACAAAGCAUCAACAUCUGUAGCUUCCCUGGGAUCCACAAAGAGGGGAACUUCCACAGAACCUGGAGCCUUUCUCACUGAACUUCACCAUCACCAAACUACUUCACAUAGAAAACAUGGGGCAAAACGUGGAUCCCACAAAUACAACACAGAAAGUCCCACAGAACUUGGUGAGUCUCCCCAAUUCCUACCUGCACAGCUGCCUUCCCCUUUCCUUAAACUUUUCACCUGUGUAGACCUCCUUUCUUUGCCAGUUUACUCCCUUGUUCAAGUAAAGCAGAAAUUGGCAACUUCUACUCUGGUACAAAGUGAUUGCCUGGAGGUGAGACUCCAGAGCUAUAGGAGGGAAAUUGGAGUGUAUCCCUUGACCAUCCUUCAGGAGCACCUCCCCCCAACUCUCAACAAAGGUGGCUUCUUCUUGAGCACCAUUCCCAAAUUCCCAGAUUGCUUUAUUCCAGUCUCUUUUGGGCAUGGCUUAUCAAGUUCUUACCCUCAUUUUACAAUUGAAAUAUGAUUUCCCUUCGUAAUUAUUCCUUAGAAGAAGAGAUCUCUCUUAAAUAAGCUGUUAGGGGCAUCUAGGUGGCUCGGGGCAUAGAGGGCCAGACCUAGAAAUAAAAGAACCUGGACUCAAAUCUGGUCUCAAACACUUCCUAGUUGUGUGACCCUGGACAAGUCACUUGGCCCCCAUUGCUUAACUCUUACUGCUCUUCUGCCUUGGAACCAAUACUUAGUAUUGAUUCUAAGACAAAAAGUAAAGGUUUAAAAAUAAUGAUUUCCCCUAUAAGGUUCUCUGACAUCCAACCUUGUACUACAAUUCUUAUUAAUAUGUCUUUUCCCAAACCAAAGAAGGAUCCUAAACCCUGGAUAAGGCUAGUCUCUACCUCAAUGGUGAGCAAUAAAUCAAUAAGCAUUUACUUAUUAAGCAAUUGCUAUGUGCCAGGCACAGGGCUAGGCCAUUUGGGAUACAAACAUAAAGAAGGUAACCAAUUCUUAACUUAUUUUUUAACCCUUACCUCCACUUUUAUAGUCAAUAGCAUGCAUUGGUUUCAAGACAAAGGAGCAGUGAGGGCUAGGUAAUGGCAGUAUAAUGACUUGGCCAAGGUCACAAUGUGUGACAAAGGUUUUGCACUCAAGGAAGAGUGGCAGGCUGAAGGGCUGCUGAAUCUUUCUCUCCAAUGGAGGUGCCCCAGGAGGUCUGGAAUCUUGAGAAGCAAGAAGAUUCUGACUGGGGUUCAUUUAGGUCUCUCUAUGUUGAGAAAACAAGGAGAGGGGGCUGGCCAAGGCACUCUCCUGAGGAGGUACUCACCUUUUUCCUCUCCUGGUGACUGGACAUCCUCCCCCCCACCAAUUCCCAACUGAAGCGACAGCUGAAGAAGACAUUGAGCCUCUGUUGGUGCCCUGGGUCUGAACUGGGGCCAGUGGGCCAAGACCAGGGCCAGCCAAACCUGAAUCUCUCUCAGGGAGCCCAUGGCUGCCAAAGCCUGGAUUCCCCAACUCGAGGGGCGGGGGGACAAAGGGUAGCUAGAGUAGGGACACCUCCCCCUCUUUCCUCACAAGCCCUUUCCUGCAAGUCAUUCCUUAGUGUUUUCCCCAGCUGACUUAGUUCAUAAUAAAGUUGUCUUUUCCCCAAAGUGACUCAAGUGUGAGUGGGUCAGCUUGAGGAGGAGCGUAAUCUCCCUGAGAAGAAACCUUUAGGCACUAGUAGUGGAGGAAGUCAAGGGCCAGUUUAGGGAAGCAGCCAUAGCUGAGGAGGGAAGGCUGAAGGGGCAAACAAUUCACUGCCUCUCUCCUCUCUCUGGACCAGCUGCCUUUCCUGGACCCUACUUUGAGGAGGAAGAUAUCCAUUCCUCCUCUAUCCCUUUUUUUUUUUUUAAACCCUUACCUUCCAUCUUGGAGUCAAUAUUGUGUAUUGGCUUCAAGGCAAAAGAAUGGUAAGGACUAGGCAAUGGGGAUUAAAUGACUUGCCCAGGGUCACACAGCUGGGAAGUGUCUGAGGCCAGAUUUGAACCUAGGGCCUCCCGUCUCUGGACCUGGCUCUCAAUCCACUGAGCCCCCCAGCUGUCCCCCUCUAUCCCUUUUACCACCAAUUAAUUCCUCCAUUAGAAUAGCUAGGAAGUGUCUGAGGUCAGAUUUGAACCCAGGACCUCCUGUCUCUAGCCCUGGCUUUUUAAAUUUAUUUAUUUGGAAUAGUUUUCCUUGGUUACAUGAUUCAUAUUGUUUCCCUCCCCCCUCCCUGAGCUGAUGAACAAUUCCACUGGGUUAAUUCUUAACUCAUGAGAAGCUCCCAUUUGAAGGGAAAAGAUAACAAAAAAUAUGUUUAUGCACACAUACCAUAAAUAUAAAGUUCAUAAAUACAAAUAUGUUUAAGUAGUUUAAAUAUAAGAUAGUUUGGGAGAAAAAGCUCUAGCAGUGGAUCGUGAAAGACUUUUUACAGAAGAUGAUAAGUAGUUUAAAUAUAAGAUAGUUUGGGAGACAUGGAAAUGGGAGAUAGAAUGUUGUAUGGGAAAAAAGAAAAGGCUGGUUUGACCAAACUUUAGAUUUCUUGAGUGGGGUUGAAAGAAAGCUUGGUGAAAGAGUAUAAAUAGCUUUAAAAGCUAAACUGAGUUGAUAUUUAAUCCUAGAGGAUAAACUAGGCAAUUGGGACUAUCACUGAAGUAGGGGAAUUGCAUGACCAGAUCUGGGUUUAAGGAAAAUGACUGGAGCAGUUAGGUAUCACAGUGGGUAGAACACCAGACCUGGAGUCAGAAGGACCUGGGUUCAAAUUUGACCUCAGACAUUUUCUAGCUAUGUGACUCUGGGCAAAUCAUUUAACCUCAUUUUCCUAGACUGCCUUUCUGACUUAAAGUUGCUAUUAAAACAGAAAAUAAGGGGAUUUUUAAAGAAAACUAAGAGCAGUGAAUAUAAUGGAGUGGAGUGGGGAGAGACUGGAUGUAGACAGACCAAUUAGGAGGUCUUUGCAAUAAUAAUCUAAGUGUGUGGGUAUGGACUAUGACAGAAGUUGGUGAUUAGAGGGGACAAGGUUAGUUGAACACUGAAAAGACAGAAAAGAGAAGACGUACCAACUAAUUGGAUAUGUAGGGCAAGGGAAAGUUAGGAGUCCAGGAUGAUGCAUAUAUUACAAACUCAGGAGCCUGGAAAGAUGCAAUGCCUUUGAUGGAAGCAAGGAAAUUUGAAAGAGCAUCACUUAAAGGUCAGAGCCCAUUUUCUACCAUCUCUCCUGUCACAAUCCCUGAAUUGGAAUUUUUCUCCUGUCAUUCCUAUUCAGUUUCAGAUCCUGACCACACCCAAAUGCCUAUCUUAUUUUUUUAUCCCUUGCUGGUCUAACAGCACCAGACAGGGUGUACCUGUACUGACUUCACAAGGGACCCUAUGCCUCCUAGGCUUUAGUUUGCUGCCAUCUAGUGGCCACCACAAAAUUCUAUCCUUGGUCCUGCACUGAUCAACAUGUUUAGCAAUGACUUAGCUGCAGCAUAAGAUUAGAUGACACCAGUUGGAAGGGAUGUAUACCUGAUGUGUUGGACAGAAUCCAGAUCCAGAAAUCAGUGAGCCCACUAAAGGUGACCAACCUUUAGACCAAGACUUGCAAUAUUCAAGUUGUCUGAAAGGGAAGGAUUAGAAUGGAAACGACCAUUUAUUAAGCACCUAAUAUGUGUCAAGCAUUGUGCUAAGCUCUUUACAAAUAUUAUCAUGUCGGAUCCUCACAACAACCCUGUGGAGUAAGCGCUUGUCUUCAUUUUGCAGGUGAAUAUACAGAAGCUGAUAUAAGUUUAGUGACUUGUUCAGGGUCAAACAGCUGACAAGUAUCUGAGGACAGAUUUGGAAUCAUAUCUUCUAGAACUGAGGGUCCAGUUAUGUAUCUGCUUGCUUCAGUUUCCUCAUCUUUAAAAUGAGCUGGAGAAGGAAAUAGCAAACCACUCUAAUAUCUUUGCCAAGAAAAUCUACACAGGGGUGGUCCAUGGUGUCUGGAGUUGUCACUCACUUUAGUAAGUGACUUGGGAACUCCCUUAGUGUUAAGUAAGGGUGUUUAAGUUUUUGGUUGAUUAAUUUUUAAAUUACUGAUUGAUAGACAAAGAAAAUUUGAUUCACUCUUCAUAACUUCUCAGAGUCCAAGAAGGGAAGCUAGGAAGGAUUCUGGAUCUCACUUAUCUUAGCUUUCUUCUUAGUGUGCUUAUCUCUCCUUAUAAACCACGAGGCUUCUAGGACAGACACUGAAUGGGUUUGUCUUCCUGUUUCCAAGCAUGGGAAAGAGGCAAGUGUAGGUUGAUUCAGCUACCUCAUCUCUUGUCCCCAUCCUGAAUUCCCAUGUCACAAAUUUACUCUUAUCUACCAGAACUGUUCAAAUCAGAGACUUAAGGGGUAAAUGGGAGACGUUUCCUCAGUGAACAGCCCUCCCCCAACCCACAGGUGUUUAGGAAGGAAAAACCGACUCCUUAUUCCAAUUGUUCUCUUGAGGUCCUUGAGUUUUCUUUCUUUUCCUAUUAAGAUAUUAGUUCCUAGAUGUCAGAAACAUCUCCGGCCCUCUCCUGUCCCAAACUCUUCAUUUUUCUCCCUGUCCUCUUGCAUGCAAUGACCCCAGACUGUGACCUUUUACUCUGAACGUCAUCAUCACUAAUCUACCCUACAUGCAGAUAUGGGAAAUACAGACUCCAUCCAGUUUAACUACAGAGAAGAAGUCUUCCAAUGACUGGUGAUAUUUUUCACUUCCUACUCCAUAUCUUCAUUCCUUAACCAUCCCUUACUUAUCUGAACAUUCUCUAAUCAUAUUCUUCCUUUGUAAGCUGGGCCCUUGUUCAGUAAUAGCAACACUGGAUCAUACUACACUGGACGUGGACUGAUCUCUCUGAGGUAAGGACCCAGAUCUGAUAGUGGGGGAUUUGGGAGACUUCUCCCCUGUGUUCCCCAGGAGAUACUGGGACUUCCAAUUAAGUUUUCUUCCCUCCCUGCUUCUCUUUGGGUUCCAGCUCCUCUAUUGUCUAAUUUCCAAAAUGUUGUAAUCUCCAUCCUCUGGUCUAAGGUUUUCAGGAACAUUAUUUCUCUUGUAGGUUCCUGUGUAGAAUAAGGUCCCUCUUGCCAGGAGAGUUCUCUGCUUUGGGAACCUGUGGUAACCCCCCCCCCCCCCCGCCCUCAUAGCUAGUGAGAGUUUAUCAGUCAUCCUAAUCAAUUGCACUUUUUUAAGUUGUCUCAGGCAUACCAUCCAAUCGUCUCUAGUUUUUAUGACAUGGUGUUAUUUCAUGGUUUGGUGACAUAACAACAAGGGAAAUAUACUAGUGAUGCACUGAAGCUUUCUUUUCUCCAGAAGAAAGGAUUUCUGCCAGCUUUCUCCAUACCAGUCUCAGUGCUGUGUCACCAUCAACGUGCUUUUUCUGAGACCUGUAAAGGAUGUGUUAGCAACUAGAGCGUAUACAAUAUAUACACAAAAGAUAAGCCCUACAAGCCCAGUCUUGGACAGAGAGAGGAUUUACCAGGAAUUAAGGAACUAGAUUCAUGGCCUCAUUUGGCUGGGACCUUAUACUUUGGACCAAGACAGUCUCUGCUUCUAUGGUAAACAGUCACUCAUUCCAAUGACCAAGUUUGGGCCAUUUUUACUCAGAACUCAGAUUUUUGUUAUCACUCUGGGUCUUUCUUCCCUUUCAACCAAUUCCAAUGGUCCCUUAUUAUGGAGACUUGAUGACAGUAUUCUUGCUUCAGGUGGGGCUAGAUCUGGAUAACUAGGAGAUUCUCAGAGGUUUUCAGUUGGAUGGAGUUAGCAAACUGCUGUUCAGCUCUACUGAAGUGAGUCCUAGUUCUAAUUAGGUGACACCCUCAGGCAUAUCUUCACUCCCCACUCUGGUGGAAUCUUCAAAUCAAAAUUAAUCCAAAUUUGUUUUAAUUCUUAAAACUAAUCUUUGCUGUGCAGAUAUUUGGGGAAGAAAGCCUUUCUCAAGCAAAAGUAUCAUCACUUCCCAAAAGUGAUGGGGAAUUGAUGCUCCAUGCUUGGCUGGGAUUGCUGCUUCCCUAGACCUGUAUCCCCCCCCCCAAGAACAAAAAGCACAUCCCCUACACAUAAUAUAUACUCUCUAUCUCUUGGAAUCUAUUGAAGAAUACUUGCUGGCAAGAUAGAUCAGCAAGGCCAUACCACUGCUGGGUUUAAAUAAUAAUGGAAAAGCCUUGAACAAAAAUAUUUAUAGCCACGCUUUGUGGUGGCAAAAAAAAAAUUGGACAAUGAUGCCCUUCGAUAGGAGAAUGGCUGAACAAUUUGUGGUAUGUGUUGGUGAUGGAAUACUAUUGUGCUCAAAGGAAUAAUGAACUGGAGGGAUUCCAUGUGAACUGGAACAACCUCCAGGAAUUAAUUCAGAGUGAAAAGAGCAGAACCAGGAGAACAUUAUACACAGAGACGGAUACACGGUGGUAUAAUUGAAUGUAAUGGACUUCUCUACUAGCAGCAAUGCAAUGAUCCAGGACAAUUCUGAGGGACUUAUGAGAAAGAAUGUGUCAACAUGGAUUUUUGGAUGACUCAGUUUACCUCUGCACUUUGGGAAACCCCAGUACUAAGCACAUCUAUUUUGUUUGAAAGUUAAGCACCUGUUUGUGUUUUGAAAAGUUUCUCUAUUGGGUUAGUUUCCUCUCAGGAAGCCCAGUUUGACCUUUGCUUUUAAUUUCUUACAGCUGACCAUUCCUUAAUACCAUAGCUAUUGACUACAAAGAGAUUUACACACCUAUUUGUGGUUAAUUUUUAUAGGCUUCCCAAAAGGUAUAAAGAGACUCUCAGGUUCAGUAUCUCUUUGGAGAUGACAAUAAGCACAGUGUUCUCUCUCAGGAUGGAGAAAGCAUCUAGCAUGGUGUCUUCUCCCAGGGAGGAGUUGGUACUUAGCACAGGACCUUUGGUUUUGUAUGGUGUUUAGAGUUUGACUCUGUAAUGACCAAAUGAUAAGCCUACCCUUUUUCCUGAUUAAAUAAUGGGUUUUUCUAACUACUUGGAAGUUCUGUAUUUAUUUCCAAGUUAACAAAUGCUACCCACAUUCAGAGAAAGAACUGUGGGAGCAGAAACACAGAAGAAAAACAACUGCUUGAUCACAGGGUCAAUGGGGAUAUGACUGGGGAUGUAGACUAAACAAUCACCCUAGUGCAAUUAUCAAUAAUAUGGAAAUAGAUCUUG